UGGUUUUAGGGAUUUUGCACCUGAGUCUGACAUCGUAGAAGGACCGUUCUUGCAUCAGAUUGGAUUUUGCACCUGAGUCUGACAUCGUAGAGGGACCAUUCUGGUAUCAGAUUGGAUUUUGCACCUGAGUCUGACAUCGUAGAAGAACCAUUCUUGCAUCAGAUUGGAUUUUGCACCUGAGCCUGACAUCGUAGAUGGACCAUUCUUGCAUCAUAUUGUCAAUAUUUAAUUUCUUUUUCAUUAUCUGCUUGUGUGUUUUCUGUAAUAAAUAAAAUUUUUAAGUA